rnacentral:rRNA from 1 species
UGGUGGAGUGAUUUGUCUGCUUAAUUGCGUUAACGAACGAGACCUCAGCCUGCUUACUAGUUAUGCGAACCGUCUGCUUUGGGUGAAGGGGGCUCGGACAGUCGCUGCUCUAGGGCGGUGGCAUCCGGCUUCUGGAUCCUGGAUGUGUUCGUAGCAAUCAUUAACUUCUUAGAGGGACUAUUUGUAUCGAGCAAAUGGAAGUUUGAGGCAACAACA